CUGGUUGAUCCUGCCAGUAGUCAUAUGCUUGUCUCAAAGAUUAAGCCAUGCAAGUCUAAGUAUAAGCAUUUAUACUGUGAAACUGCGGAAAGCUCAUUAUAUCAGUUAUAGUUUAUUUGAUGGUAAACCCACUACAUGGAUAACCGUAGUAAUUCUAGAGCUAAUACAUGCCCAGAAACGGUGACUUCGGAAGCCGUGGACUUAUUAGAUCAAGGGCCAACCCUCUUCGGAGGACUAAGCUGAAUCAUAGUAAUUUUGCUAAUCGCAUGGUCUUGUACCGGCGAUGGGUCAUUCAAAUUUCUGCCCUAUCAGCUGUGAUGUUAGUGUAGUGGACUAACAUGGCAUAAACGGGUGACGGAGGAUUAGGGUCUGAUUCCGGAGAGGGAGCCUGAGAAAUGGCUACCACUUCCAAGGAAGGCAGCAGGCGCGUAAAUUACCCAAUCCCGACACGGGGAGGUAGUGACAAGAAAUAACAAUACCGGAUCUUUUUAGAUCUGGUAAUUGGAAUGAGUACAACUUAAAAUCCUUAACAAGGAACAAUUGGAGGGCAAGUCUGGU
rnacentral:rRNA from 1 species